AGAAAAACCACUUCAGAGUUGAAAAAGUUGAGUGCACCUGAGUUUGCUUUGCUUGCAGUUUGAGAGUCUCUCUCUCUCUCUCUCUGUCUCUCUCUCUCUCUCUCUCUCUGUGACGCGGACGCUCUGAGUUCAGUAUCAGCGUCUCAGGACGUCGGGUAGAGUGUUGUAAGCUUUAGGAAGAAAUCUGUCAGCGCUGAUUGAUGCAUGUGUUUGUGUGUGUGUGUGUGUGUGUUCAGCUAAUCAGCUCUCCUCUCCAUAAGAGAGGCCUGUUGUCUGACUGUAAAUCUCCCACUCACUCUCACUCUCUCUCUCUCUCUCUCUCUGUCCCCUCCCCUCCACAUACUCAGCCCGGCCCUCUGAGCCCCGAGGGGAUCAUAAUCACAACAAUGGCCUUCUCUCUCUCUCUCUCUCUCUCUCUCUCUCUCUUCUCCUCCCCCUAUUCUCUCUCCCUAAUACACACAAACACAUGAUUGUCUUUCACAACCACACCUCCCUCCCUCUCUUCUGGCUUCGAUAACCAGUCCAUGCCAAGGUCCAGUGCCUGUUUUUAGAUCCAUCAAAGCAACAUUUAAAAGCUGCAAAAGGAUCCACUUUAAAAACCCUGUACCUGUCAGAGGCAGCAGGAAAGUCAUAUUCACAUUCAAAGCUGCAAAGUUUUUUUUUAUUUUUAUUUUUAUUUUUUAUGCUAAUGCCUUGUUUGUUGCAUCUGAUGCAGAGUUGACUUCAGGUUUUAGGACAUCGCUGAGCUUUCAUCUCUCUCAGGAUGACUUUCUGUUAACACUGCAUGUUAAGCGUUCUUCAGUCAGCCGGCCUGUUUUUUUGUUUUUGGCUCUUUAAACUUUUUCUUUUCUCUCUUAAUGAGAAUCUCUGUUUGGAUCUCCACAUCAUGCAGAAUUCAGGUUUCAGUCGCCUGCGGUCACUGUGCAUCCCUUCCCCCUCCUAAUAACCACAAACUUAGAGAAGUUGUUGCAUCAGCACCGUGCAAAAGUCCAAACUCUACUGGGAGAAACAGCAGAUCAAUAAAACUGGACUGAAAAGAUCAAAGCAAAAAAAAAGACAGUUUGUGUUUUGCUCUGGUCUUCUUUGUGGCUCAUGACAGCGCGGAGGAGAGCGGGCUGUGCAGACGCUCCUCUCCUUCCCCCCCAAGAGAGAGCAUCGAGCCUUUUCUCAUCGAGCCUCUCUGAAAACCACUCAUUUCCAAUCGCCACUCGACUAACUCAGCCGCUCACAGGAAAAAGACAGAAAGCCGACGAAUGACUUUCAGUAACUUUGUCGUCGCUUUUCCCCGGAGGAGAGCGAGCGCGACGGCCUUUUUCAUCCACUAACAGCAGCUACAGUAGAGAGUAGAUCACGGCGGACUCAGCGGAUCCUGUACUGACCCAUCGACAGCGGAGGUCGACAUCUCACACUUUGAAAGAGUAACGUUUCCGUUUCUGUCUGAAUAAACGAAUGAAAAACGGAUGAUUUUAAUGUUUUUGUUCUCGAUCAUUUGUCUUCUUCUGUUUCUAAUGUCGUGAAGCAUUUUUCUCUCCAAACUUGAUUUUCUUGUUUUUGUUUUUUUAACAUUCCGAUUUAGUUUUUACGAUUGGUCCGUUAGUGAUUUUUAUUUCUGUAGAAAAUGUAAGAUUUUAUACGUUUUGUGUUGUUGUGUGUUCACCUCUAGUUGAGUGUGUUAACAAGCCAUGCUGGACAUGUACACAUUAAAAAAAUACAUUCUCUGAA